rnacentral:rRNA from 1 species
ACGAACGCUGGCGGCGUGCUUAACACAUGCAAGUCGAACGGAAAGGCUCCAGCUUGCUGGAGUACUCGAGUGGCGAACGGGUGAGUAACACGUGGGUAAUCUGCCCUGCACUCUGGGAUAAGCCUGGGAAACUGGGUCUAGUACUGGAUAUGACCUUUCUCCUUAUGGGGUUUGGUGGAAAGUUUUUCGGUGUAGGAUGAGCCCGCGGCCUAUCAGCUUGUUGGUGGGGUGAUGGCCUACCAAGGCGACGACGGGUAGCCGGCCUGAGAGGGUGAUCGGCCACAUUGGGACUGAGAUACGGCCCAGACUCCUACGGGAGGCAGCAGUGGGGAAUAUUGCACAAUGGGCGGAAGCCUGAUGCAGCGACGCCGCGUGAGGGAUGACGGCCUUCGGGUUGUAAACCUCUUUCAGCAGGGACGAAGCGUAAGUGACGGUACCUGCAGAAGAAGCACCGGCUAACUAUGUG